CCUACGGGUGGCAGCAUUGAGGAAUAUUGGUCAAUGGACGAGAGUCUGAACCAGCCAAGUAGCGUGAAGGAUGACUGCCCUAUGGGUUGUAAACUUCUUUUAUAUGGGAAUAAAACGUUCCACGUGUGGGAUUUUGUAUGUACCAUAUGAAUAAGGAUCGGCUAACUCCGUGCCAGCAGCCGCGGUAAUACGGAGGAUCCGAGCGUUAUCCGGAUUUAUUGGGUUUAAAGGGAGCGUAGGUGGAUUGUUAAGUCAGUUGUGAAAGUUUGCGGCUCAACCGUAAAAUUGCAGUUGAAACUGGCAGUCUUGAGUACAGUAGAGGUGGGCGGAAUUCGUGGUGUAGCGGUGAAAUGCUUAGAUAUCACGAAGAACUCCGAUUGCGAAGGCAGUUCACUGGACUGCAACUGACACUGAGGCUCGAAAGUGUGGGUAUCAAACAGGAUUAGAUACCCCUGUAGUC
rnacentral:rRNA from 1 species